rnacentral:rRNA from 1 species
AUGGGCUCUUCCCGAGGUAACCGCAACGUGAGGGCACGGCGGGCCGUGAAGGCCAUGAAGCUCCUCGGCAUCUCCAGGGAGCAGACCGCCCCCGUCCUCAGGCGCCUGGUCGAGCUCUACGACGACAACUGGCAGCUCAUCGAGGCCGAGUCCUACCGCGCCCUCGCCGACGCCAUCUUCGACGAGCAGGCCAACGGCGGCCCAGCCAAUGGCGGGGAUCAGGUGCAGGGGCAGGAGGAGCUCGAUCUGGAGCUGGAGGAGACGGGCACCAUGCCGGAAAUGUUCACGCCGGAGGAUGACGACCAGCGCCCUUCCACCUCCCUCGCCGUCGUCCGCAAGGACCCGGAUAACCGCAUCACCGCACCACGCUCGAGGACUGGUUCCAGAGCAAACCCCCUUGGCCCUGACCCAACUCAAGCCGCUUCGCCUACACAGACCAGAGCGCUGAGCAAGCGGAGGCAGAUGCAGAUGCAGAUGAUGGAUGGAGAUUUUCAGCAGCCUGUCUUCCUGAGAGAGCCCAAGCCUGAACCUGUCGACAUGGAUGCGGUGGACUGUCUGAAUGUGCAACCUGGCUUGAUUCAUCGUUCGCGCAAGCGCAGUGCGCCCUCCUCAGAGUUUCUGGCAUUGCCUCCGCCUGAACAAACUCCUACACAGAUUUCAGAAGGUGAUAAAAACAGGACAACUCAGCAUUGCAGAAAUAGGGAAAUGCCUACUUUAUCGGUAGAGCCAGCAAACAGCACAAUGAACAAUGGAACGGGAUCUGGAGAUGGAAAUGUGCAGGAAGCACCUUGUUUAGAUGUUGAUAUAGCAUCAUCCCCUAGGGGUGAUGUUAAGAUGUCUCUGAAAUUCUGUAUAGACCCAUCAAAGUUCCACAUGCCUGCUUUAGAAGCAGUUUUAAAGAUGGUUGAGGACAAAUGUCUUCGCUCUCACAAGGUUCUUCCUCCUGAUUUUUCCAUUCGCGGCCUCAUGACUGAGAUGUGCCAGUGUGUUGUGCAACUGGGCACUAAACAUACUGCAGAGCAUAAUACGCAAUCAGAUACUGUCGGUAAUGGCAGCUUGUCAGAGAAUGCUAUAAGUAGGAAACGGAAAGCUAGAGGAGAACCGUUGGUUUCGAAAGGCUCGGAGAGUGGUCCAGCAAAUUCAACCCUUGCCCAGCAACACCAUUUGGCACUUUCUGUAUCGAAGACUAUCCAUGACAUAACUGAUAUAUCCAAGGGAGAAGAAAAUGUGAGGAUAUCGAUUGCAGAUGAAUCUGGCAGAGAGAAAUGCCCACCUUCCUUUUAUUAUAUGCCAACAAACGCUGUAUCCCAGAAUGCUCUUGUUAGCAUGUUUCUUGCAAAGAUUGGCAGUGAAGACUGUUGUCCUGAAUGCUUUGGCAACUGCUUGUCCGCACCUGCACCAUGUGCUUGUGCAAGAGAAACUGGGGGUGAAUAUGCAUACACACUGGACGGUUUGGUUAAGCCAGCAUUCAUUGAUGAAUGUGUCUCUAUGAACCGAUUCCCAGAAGAACAUCACAGGGUGUUUUGUAAAACUUGCCCGCUUGAGAGGUCUAGAAACAAAGCUUCACCAGAGCCUUGCAGGGGCCACCUUGUUAGGAAAUUCAUCAAGGAAUGCUGGAGCAAAUGUGGCUGUAACAUGCAAUGCGGUAACCGUGUGGUUCAGCGUGGCAUAAGAUGCAAUCUGCAGGUGUUCUUUGCCGAAGAAGGGAGGGGUUGGGGGCUCCGCACACUCGAUGAUUUGCCAAAAGGCACUUUUGUUUGUGAAUAUGCUGGGGAGAUACUAACAAAUACAGAACUGCAUGAAAGGGCCAUUCAAAAUAUGCAGAAUGCUAGGUAUACACAUCCAAUACUUUUGGAUGCCGGUUGGUGUUCUGGAGGGGAGCCGAAGGAUGAAGAGGCUUUAUGCCUAGAUGGAACAUUCUAUGGGAAUGUUGGCAGAUUCAUCAACCACAGAUGCUGUGAUGCAAAUCUAGCCAUGAUUCCUGUUGAAGUGGAGACUCCUGAUCAUCAGUAUUAUCAUGUUGCAUUCUUCACAAGCAAGAAGGUGGAGGCUUUUGAGGAACUGACAUGGGACUACGGCAUCGAUUUCGACGACGAGAGGCAGCCCAUGAAGCCGUUCGAGUGCCUGUGCGGAAGCAGAUACUGCCGGGGAGGUCGGCGUCACCUCCUAAGGAAGGAGAGGAGGAGGAGUAGAGUUACCGGUACCGCGGGACGAGCUGAGGUGUUAGAAGGUUGUUGA